CCUCACGCUGUGUUCGGCAGUGAGGCGGCGAGAGCGCGCCGGUUCAGCAGGAGACCGCUGUGGGAACCCCGCCGAACACGCUUUGGGCGGCCAUUUUGUAACUCGAAUCUACCCUCAAAACCAAUUCGAAAAAAAGGGAGGCAAGAAACGCCCCUACAGUGUUCUGAACUGGGUUGAACACACAAAGGAUGCUAAAAUUUUCCACUUGUAUACAGGCACUGGAAAGACUAAUAAUGAACAGCAGAGAGAUGAUUCAGACGAUGUUUAAAU
rnacentral:lncRNA from 1 species